rnacentral:lncRNA from 1 species
AGGACACCAUGAUUGGUCAGAUCUCGGUCACAUGACUACCUUAGUUGCCAGGAUGGUCAGGGACUCUGACCAGAAGAAGGGAAAUGGGGAGGACCGUUCAGAGAAGCCGAAACCAGCAGAUACCCAGACCGACAAACAUUGCUGCCAUGUGAGGAAGCAGAUACAAACCCCUGUUGCCCUGCGAUGCUUCCUCCAUUCACAGAACAUCCAGGGUGGCCAGCAUCCUGCCUCAGAGGAGGGAUGGCACAGCUCUGACAGCUCUGAACACAGAGACCAGAAGAGUCAAAAGACCCUGGGUGAAUGCAUAGUAAUGUAAGCAUCUCAAGACAUCAAAAGACCCCCAGACUAGAUAAACAUUGACCAGGCUUGGGAGGGCGAGGAGAAUAGAGUUUGACUUUGACUUUUGAGAACGAGAAGGGGCCAAGUGCCCUCCCUGCCAGGUCAAGUGCAGAGUAGCAAUGGGGAGAAUUGAGGAACUCCAAGAUGUCUGAGGGGACUCCAAAGAAGGGAGGACCUAUGCUCCCCAUCCCAGGACAGAAAGUCCCAGCGCAUAGCGGGACCCCAGAGUUCCCUGCACUGAGCUGGAGGGGGAGCAGAAAAGCAAUCCCGGAGCAGUCUGUGAAGGAGGACCUGAGGCCCUGCCCAGAAUGAGACCCAUAGAGUGUCCCAGGACCCCCAGAAGGGGAGACGGUGAGCUGACAGAGCCUUGUAGCUGGGCAUGAAGGAAGACCCACAGAAUGUCCCAGGCCCCAGAGAAGGGUGUAAACUAAACCAGUCUUGCGCUAGGCAUGAAGGACUACACAGCAGUGACCUGUAUGGACGGAAGACAAGACCAGAUGGGACCACACAUAGCACAGCGGGAACCAGCGGAGACAAAUGACAGCGCUAAGACCAAACACGUGACUUCAACAAGAUCCCAGAGGAGGAAGAACAGCCAUCUGACGGACGUUCAGUUUCUACCGUCUGAGUCAAG